UUUGUUCAUUCUUUCGAAUAAGUUCACUUUUUGGGUGAAUUGUUUUUGAUUAUGAUUCAAGCUUCUCUUGUGAAAGAGAGAUUUGUUUUAAAAUAGGCAAAAUGCCAAAUUGUGUUAAACGCGGGACUCAAAUGAUCAAACGAGCUUGUAACUCGAAAGAUCACUCAAUAACCACUCCUCGCUCGCUUUUACAAGCUCGCUCGGAGAUGGUUGGAGGUGUGGUAAUGAUCCUUCCGCAGGUUCACCUACGGAAA
rnacentral:misc_RNA from 1 species